GAUUUGAGCGGAGGAUUUCUUUUCUCUCUAUCAUUUUUUUCUGUUCAAACUUUUUGAGAAGAGUUUCAAGAUAUCUUAGAAAGGGUUUCCAAGAUCGUGCGAAACAAGUGAUCAACAGAUUGGUGAGCUAAUCGAUCUAGCGGCUUUCGUUUCGUCAUUUGGUGUUCGUGUUUUCGUUUGGGGUGGAGGUUGUUGCUGAUGCUGCUCGUUCUCGUCUCAGUCUUGCUGCACCCAAAAAGGACCGAAUCUCCAUAUUCUAAUAAGCUUGCAAAAUAGAAGAAAUAGUUCCGAAAGGCUUACAGAUACCAAAGUGAAAAGAAUCGAAGAAAGUCACAGAAGGCGGAUUGGAAGAUUUUUUUUAAUUUAUUAUGUUGUAUUUAUUUUGGGCAUAAGCCCUUGUCAUUUUUACUUUCCUUGUAUU
rnacentral:misc_RNA from 1 species